UUACCCUGGAGAACCGAGCGUGUGCGUGAACGAAAAGGUCACAUCUCGGUACUCGGGGUCAUC
rnacentral:pre_miRNA from 1 species